UGGGGGAUAUUGCACAAUGGGCGAAAGCCUGAUGCAGCGACGCCGCGUGGGGGAUGAAGGCCUUCGGGUUGUAAACUUCUUUUGCUCUGAACAAGGCAUGCCUUUGGGGUGUGUUGAGUGUAGGGGUUGAUUAGCGCCGGCUAACUACGUGCCAGCAGCCGCGGUAAUACGUAUGGCGCGAGCGUUGUCCGGAAUUAUUGGGCGUAAAGGGCUUGUAGGUGGCUGGUUGCGUCUGUCGUGAAAGCUCAUGGCUUAACUGUGGGUUUGCGGUGGGUACGGGCUGGCUUGAGUGCAGUAGGGGAGGCUGGAAUUCCUGGUGUAGCGGUGGAAUGCGCAGAUAUCAGGAGGAAUACCGGUGGCGAAGGCGGGUCUCUGGGCUGUUACUGACGCUGAGGAGCGAAAGCGUGGGGAGCGAACAGG
rnacentral:rRNA from 1 species